GCCUGGCAUGGAGGUGCAUGCCUGUAAUCCUAGUGGCUUGGGAGGCUGAGGCAGGAGGAUUGUGAGUUCAACGCCAGCCUCAGCAACUUAGCAAGGCCCUCAGCAACUCAGCAAGACCCUAUCUCUA
rnacentral:sRNA from 1 species